UAGAUUUUCCCUAUAUGAAAGUUUGUUCAAGGGGUUUACAGAUAACAGACCUACAGUUAUCACAUGCUUGAUGAUCCCAGAGUCCCAGGUGACUCGGAUAAACUGCUCAAGACUCAAAUCGAGUCAAGAGUCGGCACAAGCGGUCAGUCCGACCAUUCCAGUGUGAAUCGUACUCGAACGUGCCUCAGACUUGGGUAAAUGGGUACAGACUAAACUAACCAAACCGAACCCAACUUUAGGCAGUUUGUUUGGUUUAAUUUUUAACCAUGGUUACUCAAUUUGGUACAUGCUUUUAAUGUUCUAUUUCUUCUCUUCUUUCUGCCUGUCCUCUCAUUUCUUAUUUUCUUUUCCGUCUCAUCUGUGGUUCGGGGUCUUCCAUGCCAGAAAAAGAGCUGCUGCUUUUUAAUAGGGUUCGAAUGCUUCGAUGGUCGUUAUUGAAUAAACUGGGUAGAGAGAGAAGGUUCUAGUUCGAUUAGAGGUUGGGUUCUGUUUAUGUUCUGAUUGGAUUGAAAAUUUUUGAUGGACAAUAAGAAUAGCAAGAGAAAAUCAAAGAGAGUAACAGUGGCAAUAGCAAAAGCAUCACCAACCGGAGAAACAGCAGAAGUGCAAUCUCAGACUCCCAGAAAACGAGGUCGACCUCGGAAAAUCGUUGAGAGGACCGUGAGCCAGGAGGAAAAAGGACCAAAACAAGAGGAAGAAGCAGUAGCCAUCGAGGAGGGUGUUUCGAAGAGACUGAAAAGCAAGGCCGAGGGAGAAGAAGAAGAAGAAGAGCUUCAGCAGCAGGAUAAGAGAGCAAUUGGAUCCUCAUCUUCAAUAUCUUUAGAUGGUUCUGCGAAAGGACAACCUGAUACAAGCAAGUCAAAGGAACCUCCGAGGAGCCGAGGAAGAAGGAAAAGCCAGCCUCGCAAGAGCAGCUAAUGAACUUAAAAUUCUGCGGACAGAGAAAGAUGGUUAUUCGCUUUGGCUGGAAUUGUAUUUCUCCGACAUAAUUUAAUAUCUUAUAAUAUGAAAAGUAUAUAUAUAUAUAUAUAUAUAUAUAUAUAUAUAUAUGUGUUGUGUAAAGUGUAAGCAACAAAAAAUCUGUUACUAGUUACUAGUUACUAUUGCAUUUGUUUUCUUAAAAAAGAAAACAAAAAAUCUGUGGCUUCUAUUCCAAGUCCCAACAACCUCUUAUCUGACUUCAAUUUUUUAGCUUGAUAAGUUGCACAUUUGAAAUUUUGAAUUACUGUUCAUGGAGAGGCCUAGAACAUCACCGUGCCGCUUUGCUAAUAAAUUGAUGUAAUAUUCUCCGAGAUGUAGGGCUAGAGUCUGAAGUGCAGUGUCAACUGAUUGUAAUCUGAGCAAUCAAUCAAUGAAU